rnacentral:rRNA from 1 species
GAGAACAGCUAUCGCGAGGACAUACACUCCCGUAAACCGUAGCUCAGUUCAGAUCGUAGGCUGCAACUCGCCUACGUGAAGGAGGAAUCGCUAGUAAUCGCAGGUCAGCAUACUGCGGUGAAUACGUUCCCGGGCCUUGUACACACCGCCCGUCACACCAUGGAAGUUGGCCAUGCCCGAAGCCGUUACUCCAACCCUUGUGGAGGAGGACGUCGAAGGUGGGGCUGAUGACUGGGGUGAAGUCGUAACAAGGUAUCCGUACCGGAAGGUGCGGAUGGAUCACCUCCUAA